GAUGAACGCUGGCGGCGUGCUUAACACAUGCAAGUCGAACGAAGCACUUUAUUUGAUUUCCUUCGGGACUGAUUAUUUUGUGACUGAGUGGCGGACGGGUGAGUAACGCGUGGGUAACCUGCCUUGUACAGGGGGAUAACAGUUGGAAACGGCUGCUAAUACCGCAUAAGCGCACAGCAUCGCAUGAUGCAGUGUGAAAAACUCCGGUGGUAUAAGAUGGACCCGCGUUGGAUUAGCUAGUUGGUGAGGUAACGGCCCACCAAGGCGACGAUCCAUAGCCGACCUGAGAGGGUGACCGGCCACAUUGGGACUGGGACACGGCCCAAACUCCUACGGGAGGCAGCAGUGGGGAAUAUUGCACAAUGGGCGAAAGCCUGAUGCAGCGACGCCGCGUGAGCGAAGAAGUAUUUCGGUAUGUAAAGCUCUAUCAGCAGGGAAGAUAAUGACGGUACCUGACUAAGAAGCACCGGCUAAAUACGUG
rnacentral:rRNA from 1 species